UUCAGCAGCCACACCUGAUCUCAGAAGCUAAGGAGAGACAGGCCGUGUUAGUACUUGGAUGGGGGACCACCAAGGAAUCCCAGAGCUGCAGAUG
rnacentral:rRNA from 1 species